AGUCUGCCAGAUUGGCAAUUUGAAACGCACUGUCUGUGACGGCUGCUGAGGCUGCUGCGGGGGAGUGAAGGGCUGUCAUGACGAUGACCCCUGGAGGAUUCUGAGCUCUGACUUCCCUCCUUGUCAUGUUGCCUGAGGAGAAUUGCAGACAGACCCUCAGACCUCAAAUAGUCUAGAUUUUGAAGACCCUGCUUUGGCUGAGAUGAGGCCAGCAUUGGAGUAGAAAUGCUGCUUGCUUCACUGAAGCUACAGGUAGAAGCUGACUACCAAAGGAGAAGGCUGAGGAGAAAUUGCUCCAUGAGAUAAGACAUGCAACCUAUGUAUUAAGUAAGACAUUGUUGAUGAUGAAGUCUCAUUCUGUCGCCCAGGCCGGAGUGCAGUGGCACGAUCUCAGCUCACUGCCACCUCCGCCUCCCAGGUUCAAGCGAUUUUCCUGCCUCAGCCUCCCGAGUAGCUGGGACUACAGAGGCAAUCAGUACAACUGUGCAGAACUUCUGGAAGAUUGGCACAAAGCAUUUUAAAAAUCACUUUCUAGUCUAUAUUAAAUUCUUCAAGAAUACUUAUGAAGAAACAGGAAGUAACUAACUUUCUUUACCUUUUCAAGAAUUGGCUCGUGAGAAAAGGAUUUCCAGUAUUAUGUUGAAUAGAAGCGGUGAAAGUGGACAUCCUUUCCAGUGUUCCAGUUCUCAGAGGGAAUGCUUUCAACUUUUCCCCAUCUAGUAUGAUCUUGACGAGAACCUUGGCAAUAUCCUGAAUUUAGUACUAAAAGCAAAGGAUAAGGAAGGUGUUAUGUGGCCUCUGUAUAACAGAGAAUGUUCUAUACUGAAAACUUAUGAUAUACUUUCUACCUUAGACAAAGCCAGACAGAUUUUUCUAGUUUCAACUUACCAUUAUACUUCCUGAAAGUAUUUUCAAAAGAGUCAUUUGCUUGAUGAAAUUUCUGAGUUCUUGUUUGCCUGAGAAUAUCCUUCCAGUGGCCACUAAAGAAGAAACCUUCAUCUAGUCUACAUCACCAAGAGAGAACAGUGACAGCUAACACUGCUCCAGCCUCUACCACCUUCUUGACGUGGCACAGCCAUAGAACACAGGAAGUCCUCUUAGCUUCUAAUGAAAUUGGAAACAUGGGAACAUGCCCUAUAAUGAAUGGUCUAUAUCCAAGAGAAUACACUAUAUUAAAGUGUAGUAGAAAUUCAAUAUUUAUAAACUAUAAACUUCCAUUAUUUAAAACAAGUGUUUGAAAUAGUACCAGUUCCAAGCUUCGUUUUCUUCUUCAAGUAUUAUAUUUAUGAUACAAAAAUGGAUUUUCUAUUAGUCUAACCAUUUUUAAAAUUCUCAAAUUGAGUAUUUUUCUCCAGCUCUAAUACUUUUCAGAUGCUUCUUUGAUGUCAUUUACAGGGAGUUGAGGUUUUUUAAGUGUAUUAUGACCUUCCAGGCUUUCUGGUUUCAUAAGAACCUGGUGUCUGGGAUACUAUCAAAAAUAAUCUGUCCUCAUUUGAAUUACCCUAACAUUUUAGCUACAAAUCAACAGGCUUCUUGAGGGUAGAGAUAAUGCAUCCCUAGCACUUAGCCUGAAGUCUCUGAAACAGUACACUUUAAUAGAUCUGUACCUCUUUAAAGUAUUAUACUUAUUUAUAUUUAUACCAUUUCUGUGACUAGGUAUGUUUUCCAACUACAUUUAUCAUUUUGUGUUAUUACAAACGUGACAUAGUUAAAACAGAAAUGAUGAAAAUACAGAAAACCACAAAGAAAUAAUCACUUGUAAUUACUGCCUAUAUUAUAGAUAUAUAUUGUAUAUUUCCCACAUUAGCAAGCCAAUUUACCAAUUAUUAUUUAUUGGUUAAUUAGCAUUUCAUCAUAUGGCUGUCCAUACUUAUUUAUACAUACUAUAUAUAACAAUGUGGUGGCAAGGAAGGUGUAUAUUAUUGCCUAUGAUCUUAUAGGCAAGAUAAACAAUGCUUCUUAGUAGGUGUUCAUUUAGUGUAAGUCCUUUAUAAAAAUCAUUACAUUACUGAUUUUAAAUUAAAAAGGGAAUAAGCCAGUGGAUUUAUUUAUUGGUAUAACAAAACUUUGUAAAUUUUAUACCGAUAUUUUCUUUCACCAAAAGUUCAAUUCAAAUCCAGGCAUGGUGUCUCACGCCUGUAAUCCCAGCACUUUGGAAGGCCAAGGCAGGCGGAUCACCUGAGAUCAAGAGUUCAAGAACAGCCUGGCCAAAAUAGCAAAACCCUGUCUGUACUAAAAAUACAAAAAAAUUAGCCAGGUGUGGUGGCAUGUGCCUGUAGUCCCAGCUACUGGGGAGGCUGAGGCAGGGGAAUCGCUUGAACUCAGGCAGCAGAGGUUGGCAGUGAGCCGAGAUCUUGCCACUGCACUCCAGCCUGAGCAACAGAGUGAGACUCCAUCUCAAAAAAAAAAAAGUUCGAUUCAAAAUUAUUCCAUUAUAAACUAUCUGAUUAUAUUAUCCAGAAUUUUUCAACUCAUAUCGAAAUGCAAAUUUUUAAAUAUUUUUCCCAAAUAGAGUCUUAAUAGGGUUAAAGGUUGAUAGUCUCACAAUAAUACACUAUUCCACAAUGUAGAGCACUUAGCAGUAUCCAUAACAACCAUUAUUAUUUUAAAAAUAUUUUAAUAGUAAUAUUCUUUGAAAUAGUUGAUGAUUUAUUGUGACAGAAUGAGGAGAACCUAAGAAAGACUAUUUAUCGAUAAAUGAAUUUCUAACCAUGCUGACGGAAAAGCAGCUUUAUAUUUUACUUUUGAAAGAAGGUGAUGGUUGUAUCUGAAGAAAAAAGAGAUACAAGCUACUAUUUCUAGGCUAUCCAGUUAAAGGAAAGCACUAUGUCAAGCAUUUGAAGUAAAAGAAUGUUGUCUUCAGAACCCAAACAGUUGUGUCUCAGAAUACAAAGGAAUGUAAUACAUAUAUUGGUCUAUCAGUCAGAAAACAAAACACUGUAAAAAAUUAAAAUCAUUUCAAAUUAGU
ensembl:lncRNA CXXC4-AS1 CXXC4 antisense RNA 1